CGGAAGCUGCGCCAUGAUUGCAUUCGCUGCUCUUGCUAGUUGCUACAUUAACUGCAUUGUCUCUAUUUCGCCUGUGUUCGCGCUGUGCGAAAUAAUUUUAAACGUGUGAUUAAUUUUGUGUGCGGUGUAGAAAAGGAUGUGGCCCGUGCGUUAUGUAUUACUCGUGCCCCACUUCAAAGCAAAGCGUUCCUACGCACUGGAAGAUGGAUCCAUGGAGGCUGAGACGAGCAGUUGCAAUGCGCCCGGUGUCGGCGGUCGGUAGUACUGCCAUAAUGGAAAUUUUCAGGCAAGUGCCCAUUUAUUUGGUAUUUCUUUGGUGGGUUACGUGUUUUUGUUCGCUCUAGAAGUAUCUUACUGUGAUCUCGUAGCAUAAUUCACUAAUGUGAGGGCAAGAGCAGCUGCGCUCGUAGUAGGGCAAGUUAACUACCUCGAUCGCGCUUGUCAAACCUACAAUCGGUUUGUCAAACCUACAACGGGAGUGGUGCGCCUGCAUAGUUCCGCUUUGUUUCUCAGCGCUUGAACGUUCGUAGAUGUAAUUCUCUUAUAUGUAUACGUUCAGCGCGGUUUGUUGUAAUACGGUCGUUCGCACUUAAGUGAAAUGUCGGCUAUUUUUGCGUCGUGUAGAAAAAGGACGACUGGCUUUCCCACCUUUCGAAAGAACCGGCGCGGUAUUGGUUCUCCCUUGCGCGGUCGCGUGCUGCUGUUGCUGCUUGCCGGACGUCUUCAGCAUGUUUUCGGCUCGCUGUGUGUGUGUGCGCGCGCGCGUACAUGCCGGUUUGUAUGUGCUGGCGUGUUUGCGUGUGUCUAGUGCGUACUACGUGUUUUGUGAGCGUGUUUGUGUAUGCGUGCGUGUGUGCGCAUGUUUCUGUGUGGGUCGUGUGUGUGCGUGCGCGUGUGAGCGUGUCUGCCUGCAUGUAUGUGUGCUUGUUCGUGUUUAUCAAUGUGCGCGUGCGCGCUUUUGUACAUACAAGCCUGCGCUUUAAGAGUGCAUAUAUUUGUGUGUGCGUGCGUAUGUAUUGCGUAAGGUCAGUAGACGUUUACUCGCAAUAAAACUCUUCAAAUUUGGUGCAGCGAGUGUUCCCGCCUGAAAGCCGAGUUUGGUUUCAAGUCACCCUGGACAACUGCUGUAUGAGGCGCCGUUUCUUGGGAGGACCAGCGGGAAGGCGUCAGCUCAUGCAGAUGGUAGCAGCAGUUUCACAAUGCCCAGCCUUGGUGCCCUCCAUCAAGAGCAAGCCACUUGCGUUCGCCUUCAGACAGAUGGUUGAUGUCUUCUUGAAAGCAGUUGGGAAGACAACAUUGAUGCAAGAUUCCAGCAAUGCCAUGCGCUGCAUUUAUUGGUCAAGAUGCUCAGAGAAUGGAGUCCCUGCACCUCGUGGUUAACCGUGAACAUUUUUUUUUUUUUGGAAAGCUAAAUGCCAUUUGCUGCAUUAAUUGCAUUUUUGCAGCUCAAAUAUGUACUAUAUGUUUUCUAAUUUUGAAUCAAUUAAUAUUCACCGUUCAGUAUAAAAAAUGACGUACAGUGUGAAGGACAAGGACUGCGAGAGAUGACAUACACUGCGCUUACUUCCAACAAUGUUUUAUGUCGUUGCCACAUCGGGUGUAUAUACAGAAGAGGGGUCAUGUGCAGAAAAUGAAAGGCAGUCACAAGGGGUGUUCUAACAGCAAGUCAUUGUACUAAGAACAUGGUCACUAGAAAAAAACAAAUCACAAUUUCUAUCUGUUGAGAUACAAGACUUCACUAGGGGUCAGCGUGAUAGAGGGAGCACUAACGCACAAACUACCCAGUUUUCAGGUGAAAUCGGCUUCAAUAAUUUACCGGGUGAGCUGUGUCUCGCUAAAACUUGCGUAUCUUCAAAGAGGAGCAUGCAGCCGCAGUCCUGGCAAUUAAUGCCCAAGUGGCCUUGAAAAGUGUUAUGGACGUUGUUAUAGUGCUCUCUUAAACGAUCAUUUAGGCACCUGCCUGUCCGUCCUACAUAUUUACUGCCUCAAAACAGGGGAAUUUAGUAAACCACAUUCGUUGUACAUAUCGCAAAACAUUUUCUGUGCCCGACAGAGCAACAACUCUGACGCGAUUUAGGUGCGUUUACACGCUUACAGAGCUUUGCCAGCUUCUCCGGGGCUGAGAAAAGGACUGCGAUUCCUGCAGGUUGCCCAAUCUUUUUUAGCCUAUGGGAAACAUCAUGCACAUACGUUAGCACGGCAAACCUGUGUCUUUCAACCGGCUGGUUCCUUGACUGAGCGGGCUCAUCACGUUUUGUGCACUUCAGAAGCUGUUCCGCUAUGACUGAAAUUACGGCCAAAGGGUAGCCAACCCAAGAAAGGC